UGCUGGGAAAACCCCAUGAGUGGAGAAGCAGGUAUAUACUCCCAGGACCAGAAGGGAAGCGCACGUUUCAUCUGAGCUGGCACAGAGCUGGACAAAGCUGCUUCACUGCUGCAACACUGGGGCUGCCCACUGUUUGGUCCUGCUACCUCCCAUUGCACCCAUUGCUUAAUGAGAGAACUGCAUGAUGAGCUGCUACCAGCACCUUCAAAGCACGUCCUCAUGGAUUUAAUCAAUCCCUAAGAUGACAACAAGAUAAUCAGUUUGGCCAUCCAAAAUGGAAAGGGGAAGAAAAGAAAGGUUUGACACGCAGUGGCAGACAUGUAAAAAUGACUACAUGCCUUCCCGAGACAAAGGCACCUCACCACUGCAGCUCUGGCAUCCCCCAGUGCUAUUGGAACGGUGCUGGCAGCACUAGCUCUGACCCGGACAUCCGGGGACACUUUGGAAUGGAGUCUCCUUCCUCUGCCCCGUGCCAGAGGAUGUGUCCCAUUGCAGCCAGAGCCUGCCCAGAGCGUGGCACCGCGCUGCUCAGCCAGCAAGGUGCAGCUCAGGAAGCCUGGGAAUCAGCAGCUUGCAUCAAUGCUUGCAUCUCCUGGUGGCCUGCAGACAGAGAAUGGCUCCAAGCAGGAAGGUCGUGAACAGAAAAGCAUCUUUGAAGGCAAAGAAGGCUUCACCCCUCUACAAAUCAAGGAGCUCGGAGCGAGAGUGGUUGAAGGGACAGAGAAGAGAGAAUGUGACCAGAGAAGACGUUAUGAUUUGAAACGAGCAAUCAGUUUCGUGAUGCUGUCUCACUGAUUAACGCGCACAAACGAGCUCUGCCCCAGGAUCAGAAAUGCCCUGUUCCAUUCAAUCUCAGUUCUUUGCAGGCACUGUUCUCAGAAAGGUGUAUGAUUGUUAAAUCAGAGUCCUGCAGAUGCCUGCAACAGCAGCUUUCUGUUGUUGUUGUUAAACUUUCUGCAGUAAAUGAUCCAUAGUGGCAAGGCUGACAACAAAGCAGUCGGUCUGCAGUGCUCGUUGGAGUUCUGAUUUCAGCUUUGGGAAUCCAAGAAAAAUAUCAAGGAAGACUUAUCUGUAUCUCAGAUCAGGAACAUUUUCAGUCUGUUUCUGUAUGUAUAUGUAAUGCAUGUCUACAAUCAUAAAUAUCAGGUGGAACAGCCAAUUUGUUCAUACAGAAUGUAUAAAUGGAACAGAAAGACAGGGAAGUAAAAUAGCAACUAUUUUAAAAACAGAAUAACUGUGCUAGGUCAAGUUAUUUCCAGAAUCACUACAAAUACUGCGGGUAACAUAGAAGAUUUCUAUUUCUAAGUCUUGCUCCUUUCUAAUCCUUAAAUUAACGAGCGUUGUCGAUACAAUUAUGCAGUGGGCUCUAGGCUGGCCUCCCCUCUGCUCAAAGUCAGAAACCAACCUAACCUCCAGCAUGCCGCGCUAACACAGUGCUUCGCUCAGCUCGCGUGUGGUGUGGUACUGAACAGCCAAACGGAGAGGAAAAUAUUUCCUUUGCGUUUACUGCCUACUCGUGUCAGAAGUGGUACGAAGGUGGUCGACAGCUCCGUUUUCUACCAACAGACAGCAGGCUUCACGCACUAAGGCAGAAGAGAUUAAUACCGCAUUAGUAACAUCUCGCUCACCGUUGUCACUGUAAAACGGCUUCAAACAUUCCUUACGCAGAGCAGACAAUGCAGGCAUGCUUUCUUUCCUUUCUUUAUCUCCCUCGUCCCUUCACCCACUGUUUGAUACCUCGAUUUGCCCGUGUCUGGGUGCUGGAAAUACCACUGAGAGCGCGGCUCAGCAGGGUCACGCAUUCAGGCAGGGCUGCGGGAUUAUUGUGAAACAACAGUUGUGAGAAUAAUACCAAAAAGCAGCAGCAGGAGCGAUCUUUGCUCUCGUCCGCAUAUUUGUAUAAAAAGUUUCUCUGGCAGUGGUUCAUCGGCAGGCAGUAAUCUGCUAGGUUACUUCUUUGUAAUUUUUCUGUUUCAUAAAUAAUACAGGAGUUUACUAACAGGAAGUUUGUGGGAAGCAACAGUAAACAGUCUAGCAAUCCAUCUGUUAUUGUGGAAUCGAGAAAGCUGAAUCAGGUUCUUUGCAAGUGGACUAUUUUAGUUCGUGCUAGAGAAGACGUGUGGGAAAUGGGCAUUCAAGUCGUUAAGGCGAACUCUUGCAGCCCUCCUUCCUCCCUUGCCGCGUGGAAGGGGGCAGCUGCGUGCGAUCACAGCAAGAAGCUCGGGUUCAUUAGUGGCUGCGGGGCGGCUCAGAAUCACCCCGAGCGGAGACGAGGCCGCCGGUCAAACACAAAGCACGCAGGUGGCGGUCACAGGAAUCGCGCUGCUUAGACGCGCAGCUCGGGAAGAGCGACUUGUACGUACAAAUACACAGAAACCCGCUAGCACCUCUCAGCAUCGAAGUGUUCACCAGGAGGAAGCCGAGAGGCUGAAGGGACCUGGGCAGGGGAGGGGGAGGCAAUAAGGGGAAACAAGGCACCGCCGGACGCUGUUCCGACAGGUGUUCGUGUGCGCCGUGCGCGAACAGAGGGCGCUGCCAGCACGGCGGGACGGGACGGGACGGGACGGGACGGCUGCUGUGCAGCUCGGCUGCCGCGUGCGAGCCGGAGCCCGAGCUCAGCAGCGCUGCUUCAAGCGGGCUCGCAAACCGUGCUCGUUCACAAUACAGCCGAGCGUAGCGAGACAACGAAUACGCGGAACCCCGAACCCUGCCGGAAAGAUGCCGGAGGCGAA